AUUUGCAUUCAGAAAUUUAAAAAAUACUGGGCCAGACAUAACCCUCAGGUUACUUUACCUCUGAGGGUGCAACCUCUUCUCCUCAAAAGUAAGAAAGUGUGUUUGGUCAAAGUCACAAAGCUGUUAGUAGCAGAACUGCAACUAAAACUCAGAGAUCUUCUUGUCUGCGGGCUGGUACUCUUUCCAUUCUACCACAUAGUGUACUGGUUCUGCCUGUCUGGAGGGCCAUGGAGAAGAGGCUGGGAGUCAAGCCAAAUCCUGCUUCCUGGAUUUUAUCAGGAUAUUAUUGGCAGACAUCUGCGAAGUGGUUGAGAAGCCUGUACCUGUUUUAUACUUGCUUUUGCUUCAGCGUUCUGUGGUUGUCAACAGAUGCCAGUGAGAGCAGGUGCCAGCAGGGGAAGACACAAUUUGGAGUUGGCCUGAGAUCUGGGGGAGAAAAUCACCUCUGGCUUCUUGAAGGAACCCCCUCUCUCCAGUCAUGUUGGGCUGCCUGCUGCCAGGACUCUGCCUGCCAUGUCUUUUGGUGGCUAGAAGGGAUGUGCAUUCAGGCAGACUGCAGCAGGCCCCAGAGCUGCCGGGCUUUUAGGACACACUCCUCCAAUUCCAUGCUGGUGUUUUUAAAAAAAUUCCAAACUGCAGAUGAUUUGGGCUUUCUACCUGAAGAUGAUGUACCACAUCUUCUGGGGCUAGGUUGGAACUGGGCAUCUUGGAGGCAGAGCCCACCCAGAGCUGCACUCAGACCUGCUGUAUCUUCCAGUGACCAGCA
rnacentral:lncRNA from 10 species